UACGUAGGGGGCGAGCGUUACCCGGAAUUACUGGGCGUAAAGCGUGCGCAGGCGGUCUGUUAAGACCGAUGUGAAAUCCCCGGGCUUAACCUGGGAACUGCAUUGGUGACUGGCAGGCUUUGAGUGUGGCAGAGGGAGGUAGAAUUCCACGUGUAGCAGUGAAAUGCGUAGAGAUGUGGAGGAAUACCGAUGGCGAAGGCAGCCUCCUGGGCCAACACUGACGCUCAUGCACGAAAGCGUGGGGAGCAAACAGG
rnacentral:rRNA from 1 species